AUUUCUGUUUAAGGUUAUAAGCAAUAAGAUGUUUGCUAUUUAACGUAGGAACAUAACCCACGUGCAUGGUCGGAAAACGUUUUAGUCUAGUUAGGAUGUUCUUACCUCUGUUGUAAACGUGGUCUUCAACGCAUAUGGUUGUUCAAUCUAAUAUUGAUCAGGACCUCACCAAAGUCCCUUCCUUUUUAUGAGCUACGGUGCAGACCAAUUAUGAAGACAUAACAACUCAUGUGUCCUCAGAAGAAGAUGAGCUUUUUAAAGUAGUUGGUUCCUUCAUCUGAUUGUUAAAGAAGACAACACUAUGCGACCUUCUUCUAUUGCUUUCAGUAUCACGAUCCAUAGCUACUGUAGUACAUCAAUAUGUUUCUGCUUUUAUGUAAUACAUCUAUAAGGUUUCAUAAGAUUUAUAACAUCUUGUAUGGAUUUACAAAGUUUAUAAUCGACUUAAUUUCUUAUAAGAUAAUUUGAGAUCAACUUAGCUAGAUUUAUAACUUAUUAUAAAUGAUUUGUGUGCCCUAUAAUAGAACAUUUUCAUAAAGUAUAGAUUAGUAAAUUAUGUGUAAUACAAUAUUGUAAACCCUUUAAAUUAUUUAUACUUUGAAUCUCAAUUCAGUCAGUCUACUUCUUCUCUUAAUUUUUUAUAAUAUACACAUAUAUGGUUGUAUAUAAGAUUUAUAAUCACACAUAUAAAAUUUUAUAAAUCGGUUUUUAAAGUUUUAGAAUGUUUAUAAGACUUUAAUAAGAUUGUAUAACACUUUCACACAAUUUCCUAAGACUUUAUAAACUCAUUUAUAAGAUAUGAUAAACCAUUAUAUUUAUGUUUAUAAGGUUUUAUAAGAAAUGUUUGUAUAUAAAAUAUUAUAAGAUUGCAUAAACAUAUUUUGGUUUUAUGUAUAGACUUUAUACAUCAUUUAUAUGGUCUUGUUUAUAAACUAUAUUGCAAGUAUUCUAUAUGUAUUUAGAAACUAACUAUAUAAAAUGUUGAACUAAAGCUUUUCUAUUGUAUUAUCUUCUCCAAAAUCACAGUAAAAUAAAAAAAUAUCAGCAAUUACAUAAGAAAAAUCAAAAUAACACAUAAACUAUCUUAGAUCUUAUCUCAAAAAUCAAGCAACCAUAAAUUGUGCAGAUUUUAAUUAGAAAGAUAGAUUCAAAGGUUAUAAAACUAAAAUUAAUAAAAAGUAAGAUAUAUAUUGGGAAAAUCUCUUAAAUAGUUUCUUUUUAGCUUUUUCCCCCUAAAUAGUCCCCAAAAAAAUCAAAUUGACCAAAUAUGUUUCAUUAAAGGUAUAAAUGAUAUAUUUAUACUCAUUUAUAAUUUUAAUUUAUUAUUUAUUAGAUAAAUAUAAAUAAAUUAAAAUAUUAAAUAUUAAAAAUACAAAAUAUAAAAAUCGAAAUAUUUUUUUUUGAUUUUUUUUAGAACAAGUUUAAAAAACAUAUAUUUAUAGAGAGUUAGAGACCUUCUUAAACGUGAUGAUAUCUUCCUGACUUUGUAAAAAAAAUAUAAAUUAAUGAAUAAUUUCAUAAAUUUGUAAACAUAUUUUUUGAAUAUAACUUAUACUUAUAUUUUUGGAAUUUAUUCCUAAAUUUGCAUAUAAUUCUAAUUCAGUAAAAUAUUCAUAAAUAUAUAUUAAUGAAGGUUUUCCUAAAUACACAUUUAUAAAAAAAAUCUAAAUUUUAUGAAGAUAUUAUACAUGUUUAUCAAUAUUUUCCUAUAUUUUAGGAAGAUUUUAUACUUAUUCAUAAAGGCCUUUGUAAACUCAAAUUGAAUAGGUAUCAUACAUAUUUAGAAUUGUAUUCCAACACUUUUAAGAUCAUUUUUUCCUGAAAAUAAUUUUGGAAAAGAAAAAAUGUUUUCACAAAAAUUUGAAAAACAGUUUAGGAAAUAAGAAUUGAUAAAAAAAAAUUCAAUUUUUUUUUUUAAAAAUUAAAAAAAAAUAUUAAGUUUCUAUAUAUCUGUAGAGGAGAUGUAUAAUUGUUAUUUACAUCUAUAAUAAAACUUAUUUUGAUCAUUUUGAUUUCUGAAAAAUAGUUUGGGAACAAAAACUUGUUUUGAGGUUAUUUGAAAUCAUUUAUCAUAUAUAUUUGUUGAAUCUGAAAUUUGAAAGAAGAAAUUACGUGUGAAAUAGUUUUGUUUGCUAUGACAUUUUCUUCUUGCAGUGGAGGCCCUUCCUCGAAACAAAAAUGGAGGCAAAGACGAUUUGUUUUUUAUGUUUUAAGAUUUUCAGGCUAAAGAUAGUUUGGUUAAUUUCUAUUUAGUUUAAUUGUAGUUUUUGGAAAUAGUAAUUAACUAACAGAAAUGUUAAAAGUGGUAUUAUAAAAGAUGUACUUUUAAAAAAGUUCCAAAAGAAAGUAUAGAAAGAUAUGAUCUGAAUCUGACCCAAAAAUUGACUACUGAGUAUUAUUGGCUAUGGGCAAGAUAAAAAUACAAGUUGUGAAAAUGUUAAAUUUACUGUAAAGACUAGAACCCGAGUGUAAUUAGGUGAUGAUUGUUUAUUUGGUUUUUAGAUUGUAGUUUUUGGUUUUUAGUUUUUAGAUUUUAGUUUUUUGUUUUUGAUUUUGAUUUUGCUGUAGAUUUUAGCUUUUUGAAAAACUUGAUUGGUGAUUAUAUUUUGGUUUUUGUUUUUAGAUUCAAAUAAAUCAUUAAUGAUAAAAUAUUUUUAGAAACAAAUAAAGUAAAAAUAUCAUAAGUAUCACUAAAAUUAAACUAAUAUAAAUUUAUUUUAAAAUAAAAAUAAAAACACCAAAACAAAAUAUUAUAAAAAUUAAUGGCUGUAUUUUAAAAUAUAUUUAAGUUUAUAUUCACAGGGAAAUACACAUAAUAUUUUAACUCAAAAAACUAAAUAAAAUGUAUUUAUAUUUUUUUUAUAAUUAUUAUUUUACUCUCAUUUUUUAAAAGACCAAUACGCCAAUUUAUUUUUUGCAUUUCAAUUUAAUAUAUUUCAAGAAGUAUAUGAACCUACUAUUGUUCCAUUGUAUUUUUCUCUUUAAAAUUAAUAGCAUAUAUUAAUUAUUCAACGAAUCUAUAUAAUCAGUCAAUUAUAAAUAUUUAUUUAGUAAGUAAAUAAAUACUUCUCAUAACCUUUGAUAUACACUAUAAUGUCUUAAUUAAUAUUUUGUAUUGUAAACUUUAUAUAAAUUUAACCAAAUUUACUAGUUAUAAAUAAUUAUUAAUUUUAUUAUAAUUCAGUAAAUUACUUUUUAAAGAAGAUUAUUAUUUUAAAGAUUUGUUUUCAUGACCUUUUGUUAAAUAAAUGUGGCUCUUACAAAUAAAAAGAAAUAUUUGUUUAUCAAAGAGGCAUAUCUUCACGUAGAUCAGUAUUAGUAAUGUGUUGAAUAAAUACAGAUAUAUUGUACCUGAAUUAUUAACCAACAAAAACAUAAACAAAUUACUUUUUAAAACAGUUGCCGUAGAUUUGAAAGAGAAAUGAUGAAAACAUAAACAAAUUAACCAAUAAUUCUGGCUUUGGCCAGAAGCAUGAUGAAAACUUAUUUCACAAUAAGAGCUGAUUUUUAUAAUAAAAAAAAAUAGGGAGCCCAUAAUUUACAACGUUACAUGCCUCUAUAGCUUCUGGCACCCAAAUAAUUUUUAUAAUCUUCCAAAAAAUAAUUAAUUAAGAAAAAACUAUUCGAGUAUACUUAACCCGGAACCACCUAUGCCCACUUUUUCUGCCUAUUAAGUAAAACUAAAUCACCCUCUGUGCUUUGCUUUGCCAAAGAUUCUGAACCGUUACUGAAGAGAAUCACCAACAUAAAGAGA